ensembl:rRNA 5S_rRNA 5S ribosomal RNA
GUCUACAGCCAUACUACUCUGAACUCGCUCAACCUCAUCUGAUCUUGGAAGCUGAGUAGAGUUAGGCCUGGUUAGUUCUUGGAUGGGAGACCUUGUCUGAUGCUUUUCCAUGACUCUGCUAGCA